UUUGCCUACGGGGGGCAGCAGUGAGGAAUAUUGGUCAAUGGGCGGGAGCCUGAACCAGCCAAGUCGCGUGAAGGAAGAAGGUACUUAGUAUUGUAAACUUCUUUUGUCGGGGAACAAAGGCGGAGACGCGUCUCCGGAUGAGUGUACCCGAAGAAAAAGCAUCGGCUAACUCCGUGCCAGCAGCCGCGGUAAUACGGAGGAUGCGAGCGUUAUCCGGAAUGAUUGGGCGUAAAGGGUGCGUAGGCGGCCUGCUAAGUCUGGAGUGAAAGGUACCGGCUCAACCGGUACAGGCUCUGGACACUGGC
rnacentral:rRNA from 1 species